rnacentral:rRNA from 1 species
AGGGAAUCUUCCGCAAUGGGCGAAAGCCUGACGGAGCAACGCCGCGUGAGUGAAGAAGGUCUUCGGAUCGUAAAACUCUGUUAUUAGGGAAGAACAAAUGUGUAAGUAACUAUGCACGUCUUGACGGUACCUAAUCAGAAAGCCACGGCUAACUACGUGCCAGCAGCCGCGGUAAUACGUAGGUGGCAAGCGUUAUCCGGAAUUAUUGGGCGUAAAGCGCGCGUAGGCGGUUUUUUAAGUCUGAUGUGAAAGCCCACGGCUCAACCGUGGAGGGUCAUUGGAAACUGGAAAACUUGAGUGCAGAAGAGGAAAGUGGAAUUCCAUGUGUAGCGGUGAAAUGCGCAGAGAUAUGGAGGAACACCAGUGGCGAAGGCGACUUUCUGGUCUGUAACUGACGCUGAUGUGCGAAAGCGUGGGGAUCAAACAGGAUUAGAUACCCUGGUAGUCCACGCCGUAAACGAUGAGUGCUAAGUGUUAGGGGGGUUCCGCCCCUUAGUGCUGCAGCUAACGCAUUAAGCACUCCGCCUGGGGAUUACGACCGCAAGGUUG